rfam:Picea glauca, whole genome shotgun sequence.
ACCCUUUCGACUCAGUAGUAGAGUAACUCCAUGGUAAGGCGUAAGUCAUCGGUUCAAGUCCGGUAAAGGGCU